rnacentral:rRNA from 1 species
CCGUAACUUCGGAAGAAGGACUGCUGGUUUUAUACCAGCCGCAGCAAAUAGGCCCAAACAACUGUUUAUCAAAAACACAGGUUUCUGCAAAAUCGUAAGAUGAAGUAUAGGGGCUGACGCCUGCCCAGUGCUGGAAGGUUAAAAGGAGGACUUAGCUUCGGCGAAGGUCUUAAUUGAAGCCCCAGUGAACGGCGGCCGUAACUAUAACGGUCCUAAGGUAGCGAAAUUCCUUGUCGGGUAAGUUCCGACCCGCAUGAAAGGCGUAAUGAUUUGGGCGCUGUCUCAACAAUAGACUCGGUGAAAUUUAAAUUCCAGUGAAGAUGCUGGGUACCCGCGACAGGACGGAAAGACCCCGUGGAGCUUUACUGUAGCUUGAUAUUGAAUGUUUGUGCUGCAUGUGCAGGAUAGGUAGGAGACUUUGAAGUCGGAACGCUAGUUUCGAUUGAGUCACCCUUGAGAUACUACCCCUGUUGUAUGAACGUUCUAACUCUGAUCAGUUAUCCUGAUCGAAGACAGUGUCUGGCAGGCAGUUUGACUGGGGCGGUCGCCUCCUAAAAGAUAACGGAGGCGCUCAAAGGUUUGCUCAGAAUGGUUGGAAAUCAUUCGUAGCGUGUAAAGGCAUAAGCAAGCUUGACUGUGAGACUGACAAGUCGAGCAGGUACGAAAGUAGGACUUAGUGAUCCGGUGGUUCCGUAUGGAAGGGCCAUCGCUCAACGGACAAAAGCUACCCCGGGGAUAACAGGCUCAUCUCCCCCAAGAGUCCACAUCGACGGGGAGGUUUGGCACCUCGAUGUCGGCUCAUCGCAUCCUGGGGCUGUAGUCGGUCCCAAGGGUUGGGCUGUUCGCCCAUUAAAGCGGUACGCGAGCUGGGUUCAGAACGUCGUGAGACAGUUCGGUCCCUAUCCGUCGUGGGCGCAGGAAAUUUGAGAGGAUCUGUCCUUAGUACGAGAGGACCGGGAUGGACAUACCUCUGGUGUACCAGUUGUUCUGCCAAGAGCACCGCUGGGUAGCUACGUAUGGAUUAGAUAAUCGCUGAAAGCAUCUAAGUGAGAAACUAACCUCGAGAUGAGAUUUCCCAUUCGUCAGAAGUAAGACCCCUGAGAGACGAUCAGGUAGAUAGGCUAGAAGUGGAAGUGUAGUGAUGCAUGGAGCGGACUAGUACUAAUAGGUCGAGGACUUAACCAAG